GAUGAACGCUAGCGGGAGGCCUAACACAUGCAAGCCGAGCGGUAUUUGUUCUUCGGAUCUGAGCGAGCGGCGCACGGGUGCGGAACACGUCUGCAACCUGCCUUUCUCUGGGGGAUAGCCUUUCGAAAGGAAGAUUAAUACCCCAUAAUAUAUUUUGUUACAUCAUUUGAUAUUGCAAACUCCUGUGGAUAAAGAUGGGCACGCGCAAGAUUAGGUAGUUGGUGAGGUAACGGAUCACCAAGUCAAUGAUCUUUAGAGGGACUGAGAGGGUGAUCCCCCACACGGGAACGGGGACACGGACCAGACUACUACGGCAGGCAGCAGUGAGGAAUAUUGGGCAACGGGGUAGCGCCUGAUCCAGCGAUCCCGCGUGAAGGACGACGGCCCUAUGGGUUGUAAACUUCUUUUGUAGAGGGAUAAACCUACUCUCGUGAGAGUAGCUGACGGUACUAUACGAAUAAGCACCGGCUAACUCCGUG
rnacentral:rRNA from 1 species